rnacentral:rRNA from 1 species
GUAGGUGGCAAGCGUUGUCCGGGAAUUAUUGGGGCGUAAAGCGCGCGCAGGCGGUUCUUUAAGUCUGAUGUGAAAGCCCACGGGCUCAACCGUGGAGGGUCAUUGGAAACUGGAGAACUUGAGUACAGAAGAGGAAAGCGGAAUUCCACGUGUAGCGGUGAAAUGCGUAGAGAUGUGGAGGAACACCAGUGGCGAAGGCGGCUUUCUGGUCUGUAACUGACGCUGAGGCGCGAAAGCGUGGGGAGCAAACAGGAUUAGAUACCCUGGUAGUCCACGCCGUAAACGAUGAGUGCUAAGUGUUAGGGGGUUUCCGCCCCUUAGUGCUGCAGCUAAUGCAUUAAGCACUCCGCCUGGGGAGUACGGCCGCAAAGGCUG